rnacentral:rRNA from 1 species
UACAGAGGUCCCAAGCGUUGUUCGGAUUCAUUGGGCGUAAAGGGUGUGUAGGUGGCGCCGUAAGUCGGGUGUGAAAUCUCGGGGCUUAACUCCGAAACUGCAUUCGAUACUGCGGUGCUUGAGGACUGGAGAGGAGACUGGAAUUCAUGGUGUAGCAGUGAAAUGCGCAGAUAUCGGGAGGAACACCAGUAGCGAAGGCGGACUCGCUGGGCCAUUCCUGACGCUGAGACGCGAAAGCUAGGGGAGCGAACAGGA